AAUUGGAGUGAGCAAUAUAUGUCGUCGGUACUGGUGGGGAGUGGAGAAUGGCAAGAAGAAAAUGGCAUUGAUGAGUUGGGACAGAAUGAGACUCCCCAAGUCCAUGGGGGCAUGGGCUUCAAGGACAUGCGUGCAUUCAACCAAGCAUUACUUGCGAAGCAAGCUUGGCGAUUACUUGACUCCCCGGACAGCCUUUGUGCGAGAUUGUUGAAGGCUAAGUAUUAUCCUCAUGGUCAAUUGUUGGACACCGUGUUUCCUAACACUAGUUCCGUAUUGUGGAAAGGGAUAUUGUAUGGGUUGGAAUUGCUGAACAAAGGUGUCAUAUGGCGUGUGGGUGACGGGGAGCAGAUUAGGACUUGGCGAGAUCCCUGGAUCCCAAGACCGUCCUCCUUUCGUCCAAUCACCCCGAAGGGUACAUGCCGUCUGAACCGUGUGUCUGAUUUUAUUGAUGCCAAUGGAGCAUGGAGGGCUGACCGUCUUUGCGAGUAUUCCUGGGAGAUGGAUGUCUUACAAAUUCUGAAGAUACCUACAUCCCCAAGGCAGCGUACGGACUUUAUUUCAUGGUUCCCAGAAAAGAGUGGAGUGUUCUCGGUAAAAAGUGCCUACAAAUUAGCCACAUGCGACCAUGAUACUGUCUUCUCUGGAGGAGCCUCAAGUUCAGUGGCGAAUGGCUCUUGUUCCCUUUGGAACGUUGUUUGGCAGUCCUUGGUCCCGCAG
rnacentral:rRNA from 1 species